rnacentral:rRNA from 1 species
UGCGUAGGCGGAACUUUAAGUCAGUGGUGAAAUCCUGCGGCUCAACCGUAGAACUGCCAUUGAUACUGAUGUUCUUGAAUGCAGUUGAGGUAGGCGGAAUGUGUAAUGUAGCAGUGAAAUGCUUAGAUAUUACACAGAACACCGAUUGCGAAGGCAGCUUGCUAAACUGUGAUUGACGCUGAUGCACGAAAGCGUGGGGAGCGAACAGGAUUAGAUACCCUGGUAGUCC